UACGUAGGGGGCGAGCGUUGUCCGGAUUUAUUGGGCGUAAAGAGCUCGUAGGCGGUUUGGCAAGUCGGGUGUGAAAGUCAAGGGCUCAACCCUUGAAUGCCGGUUGAUACUGUCGGGCUAGAGUCCGGAAGAGGCGAGUGGAAUUCCCGGUGUAGCGGUGAAAUGCGCAGAUAUCGGGAGGAACACCAAUGGCGAAGGCAGCUCGCUGGGACGGUACUGACGCUGAGACGCGAAAGCGUGGGGAGCAAACAGGG
rnacentral:rRNA from 1 species